UACGUAGGGUGCAAGCGUUGCCCGGAUUUAUUGGGCGUAAAGGGCGCGUAGGCGGCUCUGCACGUCCGUUGUGAAAUCGCCCGGCUCAACUGGGCGGGGUCAGCGGAUACGGCAGAGCUUGAGCAAGCUAGGGGGCAAUGGAAUUCCCGGUGUAGUGGUGGAAUGCGUAGAUAUCGGGAGGAACACCAGUGGCGAAGGCGGUUGCCUGGGGAUUUGCUGACGCUGAUGCGCGAAAGCGUGGGGAGCGAUCCGG
rnacentral:rRNA from 1 species